GGUAAGUUGGAUGUGAAAUACCCGCGCUCAACGUGGGGGCUGCAUUCAAAACUAUCGUUCUUGAGUGAAGUAGAGGCAGGCGGAAUUCCCGGUGUAGCGGUGAAAUGCGUAGAGAUCGGGAGGAACACCAGUGGCGAAGGCGGCCUGCUGGGCUUUUACUGACGCUGAGGCACGAAAGCAUGAGUAGCAAACAGGAUUAGAUACCCUGGUAGUCCAUGCCGUAAACGAUGAUUGCUAGGUGUGGGGGGACUGACCCCUUCCGUGCCGGAGUUAACACAAUAAGCAAUCCACCUGGGGAGUACGGCCGCAAGGUUGAAACUCAAAGGAAUUGACGGGGGCCCGCACAAGCAGUGGAGUAUGUGGUUUAAUUCGAAGCAACGCGAAGAACCUUACCAGGUCUUGACAUCCUACGAAUCCUCUAGAGAUAGAGGAGUGCCCUUCGGGGAACAUAGAGACAGGUGGUGCAUGGUUGUCGUCAGCUCGUGUCGUGAGAUGUUGGGUUAAGUCCCGCAACGAGCGCAACCCUUGUUAAUAGUUGCUACGCAAGAGCCACUCUAA
rnacentral:rRNA from 1 species